UGUAGAACGGUUGCCGUGGAGCCAUGCUGUGUCGUUUUUGUAUUAGCAUAAACAGGUCGGUCCGCGCUAUAGAAUUGUGUCAGAUGCUUACAAGCUUUGCAUUUCGAGGAUGUUAACAACGUAUUUGAUUACUGCAUGUAAAUCAUGGAUGAAGAGGAGAACAAUCAUAAGUCAAAGAAGACUCUUACAAAGCCUCCUCUGUUAUGUGCCGUGAUUUUCUCCAACACCACGUAAAAGGCUACACGCUCGGACUCGGAAGUUGCUGUGAUCAUAAUCCUACGUUUGAAUCAGAUGUCACAAUCUUAUUCAAGCGCCUGUUAAUGAAUCUACUGGCUGAAAGGAUCCAUUCAAAAGCAUUACCGGAGGGUGCAUAUUUUCUUAUGCACAUGAGGAUGUCAAUGCAUGAUUCAGCAACGAGGCUAAAAAACUGAGGAGUAAAUGAUGCCGAAACGUUCGAUGAUCCCAUUGAGCUACUUCUUAAUGUCAACAUGAUUAUUAAUUCAAUUAUGACAUUAACACCCUGAUGCAAAGAAGUAUGUGUGAAUUAAGAAAAUGUCCUCGUCCACUUCACUACAGGAUUACAAACAACGAUUAGAUAGUGAAUACGUUCUACAUAAGGAUGGAUGACUCUCCUACAUGUAACAAGAAACCCAAAGGAGGUAAACAAACAUGGUUUAAGUGCCGCAAAAUUCGUAGCAUAAGAGGAAUACCAAAAGUUUUCCGAAUUACCUUAAACGGCAUUUUUGAAGAAAGAAGUUUAAUCCACUUGACUGAUUGGAAAUGGUCGAUAAGUUGUCAUAUUGAUUACUACAAAUCAUCUGUGAACAAAAACUAAGCUAUAUAAGAACAGUAACAAACAAUGCUGUGAAUAGAUAGAGACAUUUUUUUGGCACAGGAAAUAUGUCAAAUGUUUUCUAAAUAGUCAACUCUUCAUGAAAAAUGAAAAAAAGAAAAUACGUGCAGACACAAUACAAAACGUGAUCAUGGAUGAUGAAAAAGUUACAAGUAGACCCUUUGUUUAAAGCAAGUAAAUAAAUGUUUCACUACUGUAAUUCAAAAAUACUUCAUGGUAUUUCAAUAUUCUUUGAAAUUUCUUUCUACACGUCUUUCUCUUUUUUUGAUGGCAAAAGGCAAUUAUGAGUUAUGAUGAUAUGUUGAUCUUUCUGGUGGAUUCACCAACUUUCUUAUCUUUUAUGUAAACUGAACAUAGCAUUCAUAUUGAUGGGCCCACCAAUUAUGUAUUCAAUAGCAGCAAUAAACUAAUUGUUACCGGCCGGGAGUUUCUUUGGUGAAUCCACCAACUUUGUAAUCUGUUUUUUUAAUUAUUCGUAUAACUUGAUAUCUGGUGGAUCCACCAAGUAGGGGUAUUUUGAAUUUUGUCAAUCUUUUUGGUGGCUUCACCAACUUUCUUGUUUUGCAUAUAAACUGACAUGUGUUGCGGUGUUUUUGUUUAUUUAGUGCCAUCGAUGAAUAUUUAGAAACUUUUGGUGAAUGCACCAAAUUUGUACUCUAUAUUUGUUUGUAUAAUUCAUUUUGGUGGAUCCACCAAAUAUUUGGAUAAUGAAAGUUUGUA